ACAUAAAAAAUAAUCAUAUUUGAUAGGCUCAUGAAAAAAAAUAUAUUACAAAUAUAUUUUUAAAUAAAAAUAUUAAUAUUAAAGAUCAAUUUUAUAUAUUUUAAAAAAAUUAAAAAGUUUAUAUGCAUAAUCUUGUGCAUCAAACAUGCUGGAUCAUAGUCCUGCAUACGAUACUCUUCUUUCUUUCUUUCUUCUCUGGCCUAACGGAUGAGCAACCCCC
rnacentral:lncRNA from 1 species